UACAGAGGGGGCAAGCGUUGUUCGGAAUUACUGGGCGUAAAGGGCGCGUAGGCGGCCUUCUAAGUCGAACGUGAAAUCCCCGGGCUCAACCCGGGAACUGCGUCCGAUACUGGAAGGCUUGAAUCCGGGAGAGGGAUGCGGAAUUCCAGGUGUAGCGGUGAAAUGCGUAGAUAUCGGGAGGAACACCAGUGGCGUAAGCGAUCACCUGGGCUAGACCUGACGCUGAGGGACGAAGGCGUGGGGAGCAAACGGG
rnacentral:rRNA from 1 species